GCGGGGGUGACGCCUCCUGAAGUUUAAGAGUUAUCGAGAAUGACCCAUUCCAUUCCUGUCAUUGAAAACUCAUCAAUAACAACAUUCUUUAGAUUCAAAAUUGUUUCUUUUUUUAAGUUUUAUCUAUUCAUUGUGUUUAUUUAGAAUUUAAUAACGGUCAUUGGCUUUAGAGUAAAACGUCCAUACCAGUUACUUUCAAAUAUGAUUAAAGCC
rnacentral:lncRNA from 1 species